GCCGAUAUGUUGCCUUUAUCUGCAUUUGCACCUGCACUUUACUUGGUUUCUCUGUAACAUAAAUGAGCACAUGUCAAUUGAGGAGAAAGAGAAAUAUAUUAUAUUAUAUUAUAUAUAUAUAUGUAUAUGAAUGGAGAAACUGAGAAUGAGGUGCAGGUGCAUAUGCAGGUGAAUGUCAUAUCGGA
rnacentral:pre_miRNA from 1 species